rnacentral:rRNA from 1 species
UGGGGAAUUUUGCACAAUGGGGGAAACCCUGAUGCAGCGACGCCGCGUGAUUUAGAAGGCCUUCGGGUUGUAAAAAUCUUUUCUAUGGGAAGAAAAUGACAGUACCAUAGGAAUAAGGACCGGCUAAUUACGUGCCAGCAGCCGCGGUAAUACGUAAGGUCCGAGCGUUGUCCGGAAUCAUUGGGCGUAAAGGGUACGUAGGCGGGUAAGCAAGUUAGAAGUGAAAUCCUAUAGCUCAACUAUAGUAAGCUUUUAAAACUGCUCAUCUUGAGGUAUGGAAGGGAAAGUGGAAUUUCUAGUGUAGCGGUGAAAUGCGCAGAUAUUAGGAGGAAUACCGGUGGCGAAGGCGACUUUCUGGCCAUAACCUGACGCUGAGGUACGAAAGCGUGGGUAGCAAACAGG